AGCCUUUGGAGCGCAGUGGGAACUCGCGCUGUGCUCCGAAGGCUUUGGGUUCCUUUUUCUGAAGCCGGGAGAGCAAGACUCUCCUGGCUUCAGUCAAAGGAACCCAAAGCCUUUGGAGCACAGUGCGAGGUCCUGCUCCAUUCCA